rnacentral:rRNA from 1 species
GACUCGUCACACUAUCAUUAACUGAAUCCAUAGGUUAAUGAGGCGAACCGGGGGAACUGAAACAUCUAAGUACCCCGAGGAAAAGAAAUCAACCGAGAUUCCCCCAGUAGCGGCGAGCGAACGGGGAGGAGCCCAGAGCCUGAAUCAGCAUGUGUGUUAGUGGAAGCGUCUGGAAAGGCGCGCGAUACAGGGUGACAGCCCCGUACACAAAAGCGCAUGUGCUGUGAGCUCGAUGAGUAGGGCGGGACACGUGGUAUCCUGUCUGAAUAUGGGGGGACCAUCCUCCAAGGCUAAAUACUCCUGACUGACCGAUAGUGAACCAGUACCGUGAGGGAAAGGCGAAAAGAACCCCGGCGAGGGGAGUGAAAAAGAACCUGAAACCGUGUACGUACAAGCAGUGGGAGCACCCUUUGGGGUGUGACUGCGUACCUUUUGUAUAAUGGGUCAGCGACUUAUAUUCUGUAGCAAGGUUAACCGAAUAGGGGAGCCGGAGGGAAACCGAGUCUUAAUUGGGCGUUAAGUUGCAGGGUAUAGACCCGAAACCCGGUGAUCUAGCCAUGGGCAGGUUGAAGGUUGGGUAACACUAACUGGAGGACCGAACCGACUAAUGUUGAAAAAUUAGCGGAUGACCUGUGGCUGGGGGUGAAAGGCCAAUCAAACCGGGAGAUAGCUGGUUCUCCCCGAAAGCUAUUUAGGUAGCGCCUCGUGAAUUCAUCUCCGGGGGUAGAGCACUGUUUCGGCUAGGGGGCCAUCCCGGCUUACCAACCCGAUGCAAACUGCGAAUACCGGAGAAUGUUAUCACGGGAGACACACGGCGGGUGCUAACGUCCGUCGUGAAGAGGGAAACAACCCAGACCGCCAGCUAAGGUCCCAAAGUCAUGGUUAAGUGGGAAACGAUGUGGGAAGGCCCAGACAGCCAGGAUGUUGGCUUAGAAGCAGCCAUCAUUUAAAGAAAGCGUAAUAGCUCACUGGUCGAGUCGGCCUGCGCGGAAGAUGUAACGGGGCUAAACCAUGCACCGAAGCUGCGGCAGCGACACUCAGGUGUUGUUGGGUAGGGGAGCGUUCUGUAAGCCUGUGAAGGUGUGUCGUGAGGCAUGCUGGAGGUAUCAGAAGUGCGAAUGCUGACAUAAGUAACGAUAAAGCGGGUGAAAAGCCCGCUCGCCGGAAGACCAAGGGUUCCUGUCCAACGUUAAUCGGGGCAGGGUGAGUCGACCCCUAAGGCGAGGCCGAAAGGCGUAGUCGAUGGGAAACGGGUUAAUAUUCCC